AACGAACGCUGGCGGCAUGCCUAACACAUGCAAGUCGAACGAGACCUUCGGGUCUAGUGGCGCACGGGUGCGUAACGCGUGGGAAUCUGCCCUCUGGUUCGGAACAACAGUUGGAAACGACUGCUAAUACCGGAUAAUGACUUCGGUCCAAAGAUUUAUCGCCUGAGGAUGAGCCCGCGUCGGAUUAGCUUGUUGGUGAGGUAAAAGCUCACCAAGGCGACGACCCGUAGCUGGUCUGAGAGGAUGAUCAGCCACACUGGGACUGAGACACGGCCCAGACUCCUACGGGAGGCAGCAGUGGGGAAUAUUGGACAAUGGGCGAAAGCCUGAUCCAGCAAUGCCGCGUGAGUGAUGAAGGCCUUAGGGUUGUAAAGCUCUUUUACCCGGGAUGAUAAUGACAGUACCGGGAGAAUAAGCCCCGGCUAACUCCGUGCCAGCCGCCGCCGUAA
rnacentral:rRNA from 1 species